rnacentral:lncRNA from 1 species
CCGCUCGGGAUAUACCACUCCAACUGGCAUCUUUUCAACGGGUUCUUGUUCUACUAAAUCAAAGAUAGUAAGGCCAUCCAGACAUACUUCUACAAGGAGGUGGUAUGCAGUUAUUUUGUUCUAGUUAAUCUAUCUUAUGCCGGAGUAUGUGUGUGUGAAUUUUGUUUGCAGUUUAUGGACGCCCAUGGGCAAGUAUACAGUAUACCUGAACAUGAGGUCUGCUUUGUGAUUAGGAAGGGCUGCGGAGGAAUAGCAUAAUUAACAAGAGUCGGUACUACUUUAGGUUCUACCGUGUGCGGUAUGUAUGGCUAAGGUGGUCGUAAGAAUGGUCUUGGUAAACAAUGAUCUGAUGAUCUUGAUGUAAGUCGAUCUCUAAUCCUUUUUUCUUGAAAUCUCUGAAUUUCCAUGUUAUUGUCUCUGAACAAUGAACCUACCUGCCUUAUCAGUUGCCACACGCUGCACUAUGUCCUCCCUGUUGAACUGGGGAGUGAGCAGCCAUCGUCCGUGUCGUAGGCGUUGUCACACACUAAUUUUUUGCUGGUUGGAUAUAAAUAUUUGUUUGUGCUGUUGCUUCUUAUUUAAAAUUUGAUUAUUCUUUGACUAUUGUUUUGAUUUGAGUAGUAAUACCAACAUCUUUGGGCUGCAUUAGUCUACUAAAAUUAAGUCACCGACUCAUGUUUGUGCAGAUCUUUGUUUUGUCAUGUCAACAAGGUAGUUGAUGAAGAUUUAAAUUGACUGCAAGUUAGGUGGGCCAAUGUAAUCUUUAUAAUGUAAUCAAAGAAUAAUCCCAUCUCCCUCAUGUUUUUUCUACAUAUGAUAUUUUUUUCUCAAUUUUUUUACUCUCUGAGUUGUUGAUCAUGUAAGAAAGCUAAAAACUAUUUUAUGAGUGAUUUCUGUAACCAUACAUGUUAAUAUACAUAAAAUAUUAGAGAUGUCCUUCUUUCUCAUUGUCAAGUUAUUUUAUACACUAGAAGUUAGUACAAUAUGUAGCCUUCCAAUCAGAGAUUUAUUAAUUUUAUGCCAAGUGAGGCUCUUUCAAUCUCCAUAAUUGAGUCCUGAGAUUGCUUUCUUCUUUGAGAGCUUUAUAAUACAUAGGUUUGCAAAAUCCAUUAUCAUAACAAACAGCUUCUGAGCUUUAUAAGACAUAGUUGAGUCCUGAGAUUGCUUUCUUCUUUGAGAGCUUUAUAAGCAUGCAUCGAAUGAUUAUAGUAAGAGCAGUUAAGCAAAAGCCCAGCACAAAGGGCGAACAUCAUGAAGUUAGUUCUAUAUGUUAUAUGUUCUAGACUAUACUUGCAUUUUACGUGUCCUUUAUUAUCAAUGUCAUGUUACACAUUUCCCAUGGUAUCUCACCAUUAUUGAAUGCCAUGUUCAAUCCGUAACUAACUGACAUAGUAAUUCUGUUUUUUUUCUUGCCAUGCUGCUGAUUGGUCAUACAACAUUCAUAGGUGAGGUAAAGGAGACGACACAUGUAGCAGUCAUGAUAACAAUUGCAGAAUGUCACUAAAGAUUGUAUGAAACUAGAAAAGCAAUGACAGGGCAGGCAACAUCCGGGGAGCAACUAACUAACAUUCAAGUAAUCUAUUGGCCAGAGCAUUAUGUAGGUGUGUGUUUCUGAUGUAACAAGUUGUCUUAACUAUCUUAUAAGUUUGUACUGUUUCUUGAUUGUUUUUAUUGGCUUGAAUUGCUUGCAGUAUAAAUAUUUUGGCCUAUUUAGAUAUAGUAUAUUGGUGCUUGGAAUUGAACUCCACGAGAAUGACGUUAUCAAUGUCAUUUGUUUUCACAUUGACAGGAUCUAUACGGUUGUUAACUUAUUAUUCCUGCUGCCAUCUGCAACCAUGAACUAU